UUCCGUAGGUGAACCUGCGGAAGGAUCAUUAAUGAAACUUCAAAGUCGGCCGAGGUUGUUGCUGGUGGGUAAAACCACAUGUGCACACUCGGUCGCAAAUCCACACACACCUGUGCAUCUAUGACUCGAGGUUGUAACRACCAAGAGUACUUUUUAUACACUCUGAAUGUAAUGGAAUGUCUUUUUGUGCGAAAUGUACAAAUUAUAAACAACUUUCAACAACGGAUCUCUUGGCUCUCGCAUCGAUGAAGAACGCAGCGAAAUGCGAUAAGUAAUGUGAAUUGCAGAAUUCAGUGAAUCAUCGAAUCUUUGAACGCACCUUGCACCCUUUGGUAUUCCGAAGGGUACGCCCGUUUGAGUGUCAUUGUAAUCUCAUAUUUUCGACUUUUUUGUCGUAAAUAUGGACUUGGAUGUUGCCGUUUUACUUACGGCUCGUCUCAAAUGCCUGAGUGUACCCUGCUGUGCAGCGUAUCCGGUGUGAUAAACAUUUCACCAGAGUUGGUCGCAAGACCGCGCUUUUGCUAUAGUCAUGGCUCUAUGCUUUCGAACCGUCCCUCACAGGACAAUCUCUGACAAUUUGACCUCAAAUCGGGUGGGACUACCCGCUGAACUUAAGCAUAUCAAUAAGCGGAGGAAAAGAAACUAACAAGGAUUCCCCUAGUAACGGCGAGUGAAGAGGGAAAAGCUCAAAUUUUGAAUCUGGUGUCUUUGACUCCCGAGUUGUAAUCUAGAGAAGUGUUUUCCGUGUCGGACCGUGUACAAGUUCCCUGGAACGGGGCGUCAUAGAGGGUGAGAAUCCCGUAUAUGCCACGGACUACCGAUGCUCUGUGAUACACUCUCAACGAGUCGAGUUGUUUGGGAAUGCAGCUCAAAAUGGGUGGUAAAUUCCAUCUAAAGCUAAAUAUUGGCGAGAGACCGAUAGCGAACAAGUACCGUGAGGGAAAGAUGAAAAGCACUUUGGAAAGAGAGUGAAACAGUACGUGAAAUUGUUGAAAGGGAAGCGUUUGAAGUCAGUCACGUUUGUUGGGAUUCAGCCUGGCUUUUGCCUGGUGUAUUUCCUUUCCGACGGGUCAGCAUCAGUUUUGACCGAGGGAAAAAGACAUUUGGAAUGUGGCUGUCUUCGGGCAGUGUUAUAGCCUUUUGUUGUAUGUCUCGGUUGGGACUGAGGAACGCAGCGCGCCUUAUGGCCGGGGGUCGCUCCUCUCGACACGCGCUUAGGAUGCUGGCAUAAUGGCUUUAAGCGACCCGUCUUG
rnacentral:rRNA from 1 species